rnacentral:rRNA from 1 species
UACGGGGGGGGCAAGCGUUGUUCGGAAUUACUGGGCGUAAAGGGUUCGUAGGUGGCCUGCUAAGUCAGACGUGAAAUCCCUCAGCUUAACUGGGGAACUGCGUCUGAGACUGGCGGGCUUGAAUCCGGGAGAGGGAUGCAGAAUUCCAGGUGUAGCGGUGAAAUGCGUAGAUAUCUGGAGGAAUACCGGUGGCGAAGGCGGCAUCCUGGACCGGCAUUGACGCUGAGGCGCGAAAGCCAGGGGAGCAAACGGG